rnacentral:rRNA from 1 species
AGAGUUUGAUCCUGGCUCAGAGUGAACGCUGGCGGUAGGCCUAACACAUGCAAGUCGAACGGCAGCACAGUAAGAGCUUGCUCUUACGGGUGGCGAGUGGCGGACGGGUGAGGAAUGCAUCGGAAUCUACUCUGUCGUGGGGGAUAACGUAGGGAAACUUACGCUAAUACCGCAUACGACCUACGGGUGAAAGCAGGGGAUCUUCGGACCUUGCGCGAUUGAAUGAGCCGAUGCCCGAUUAGCUAGUUGGCGGGGUAAGAGCCCACCAAGGCGACGAUCGGUAGCUGGUCUGAGAGGAUGAUCAGCCACACUGGAACUGAGACACGGUCCAGACUCCUACGGGAGGCAGCAGUGGGGAAUAUUGGACAAUGGGCGCAAGCCUGAUCCAGCCAUACCGCGUGGGUGGAGAAGGCCUUCGGGUUGUAAAGCCCUUUUGUUGGGAAAGAAAAGCAGUCGGUUAAUACCCGAUUGUUCUGACGGUACCCAAAGAAUAAGCACCGGCUAACUUCGUGCCAGCAGCCGCGGUAAUACGAAGGGUGCAAGCGUUACUCGGAAUUACUGGGCGUAAAGCGUGCGUAGGUGGUUGUUUAAGUCUGUCGUGAAAGCCCUGGGCUCAACCUGGGAAUUGCGAUGGAAACUGGGCGACUAGAGUGUGGCAGAGGGUAGUGGAAUUCCUGGUGUAGCAGUGAAAUGCGUAGAGAUCAGGAGGAACAUCCGUGGCGAAGGCGACUGCCUGGGCCAACACUGACACUGAGGCACGAAAGCGUGGGGAGCAAACAGAAGGGGAUACCCUGGUAGUCCACGC